UACCAGCACCCCGAGUGGUCGGGACGAUUAUUGGGCCUGAAGCAUCCGUAGCCGGUCAUGCAAGUCUUCCGUUAAAUCCAGCCGCUCAACGGUUGGGCUGCGGAGGAUACUACGUGGCUAGGAGGCGGGAGAGGCAAGCGGUACUCAGUGGGUAGGGGUAAAAUCCUUUGAUCCAUUGAAGACCACCAGUGGCGAAGGCGGCUUGCCAGAACGCGCUCGACGGUGAGGGAUGAAAGCUGGGGGAGCAAACCGG
rnacentral:rRNA from 1 species